GACGAACGCUGGCGGCGUGCCUAACACAUGCAAGUCGAACGGAACUGUUUUGAAAGAUUUCUUCGGAAUGAAUUUGAUUUAGUUUAGUGGCGGACGGGUGAGUAACGCGUGAGUAACCUGCCUUCAAGAGGGGAAUAACAUUCUGAAAAGAAUGCUAAUACCGCAUGACAUAUCGGAACCACAUGGUUUUGAUAUCAAAGAUUUUAUCGCUUGAAGAUGGACUCGCGUCCGAUUAGUUAGUUGGUGAGGUAACGGCUCACCAAGACCGCGAUCGGUAGCCGGACUGAGAGGUUGAACGGCCACAUUGGGACGGAGACACGGCCCAGACUCCUACGGGAGGCAGCAGUGGGGGAUAGUGCGCAAUGGGGGCAACCCUGACGCAGCAACGCCGCGUGAAGGAUGAAGGUUUUCGGAUUGUAAACUUCUUUUAUUAAGGACGAAAAAUGACGGUACUUAAUGAAUAAGCUCCGGCUAACUACAUG
rnacentral:rRNA from 1 species